rnacentral:rRNA from 1 species
AGUGAACGCUGGCGGUAGGCCUAACACAUGCAAGUCGAACGGCAGCACAGUAAGAGCUUGCUCUUACGGGUGGCGAGUGGCGGACGGGUGAGGAAUACAUCGGAAUCUACUUUUUCGUGGGGGAUAACGUAGGGAAACUUACGCUAAUACCGCAUACGACCUACGGGUGAAAGCAGGGGAUCUUCGGACCUUGCGCGAUUGAAUGAGCCGAUGUCGGAUUAGCUAGUUGGCGGGGUAAAGGCCCACCAAGGCGACGAUCCGUAGCUGGUCUGAGAGGAUGAUCAGCCAAACUGGACCUGAGACACGGUCCAGACUCCUACGGGAGGCAGCAGUGGGGAAUAUUGGACAAUGGGCGCAAGCCUGAGCCAGCCAUCCCGCGUGGGUGAAGAAGGCCUUCGGGUUGUAAAGCCCUUUUGUUGGGAAAGAAAAGCAGCAGGUUAAUACCCCGCUGUUCGGACGGUACCCAAAGAAUAAGCACCGGCUAACUUCGU